rnacentral:lncRNA from 1 species
AGCACUUUGGGAGGCUAAGGCAGGUGGAUCUCUUUGAGCUCCAGAGUUCAAGACCAGCCUACACAACAUGGUAAAACCAUGUUUCUUUAAAAAAAAAAAAAAAAAAAAAAUUAGCAGGGCGCGGUAGCACACACCUGCAGUCCCAGCUACUUAUGUUACAAACUCCCAUAUUUUUACAAACAUCAGUCAAUGUUCUUCCUAUGACACCAUAAAUUCCUUCCCACACAUAAUUUAUCCACCCUUCCCAUUGUAUUCAAAGCCCAAAGCAAACUUUCUAGGCAAAAAAAAAAAAAAAAAGUACACAGACAUGCAUACCAGUGGGAGCUGAGUGAAAUCUAAAGAGAGGAAUGUGAUCUGGUCAAUGAAGAGAGGAGGGGAGUAAGAUGCUAUGGACCAAAAGGUUGCAUCCAAUGGGAGGUCAAGGUGAACGGACACCUGGAUGUCCUUCUGGAAGGCAACACUCUUUCCCCCAAGGAUGGGCCAGGUCCUGACAAAUCCCCAGUUGCUGUAGUCACCCACAGCUCGGGGCCAGGGGUCGCCCACACAUGAGCUCUGCCAGCACUUCUCUGCGGGAGCCUGGCCCGGGCAUCUCCUCUCUCGCUGCCUCAGGCCUCACCUAGAAAAGCAAAGCAUGGGACCACAGCAGUGGUUCCUUCCAGUGUCUGCAUGAGCAGCGUGCCCCAUCAACAGCUGUCACCACGCACACAUAAAUACAUAUGAAGGAUCCUACCAGAUGACAGCAAUCCUGGGUUGCCUGAUCUAGAAUUUGUCAUCUCAUCAAGAGGGUAAGAAAUUAGAUGUCAGGCAGAGGAUGAAAGAGCCUCAGAAAACAGUGAACAAUUGACCUUGGCUUUUUUUUUCCCCACAAUAGAGAUGUAGUCUCGCUAUGUUGCCCAGGUUGCUCUUGAUCUCCUGGCCUCAAGAGAUCCUCCAACCUCGGCCUCCCAAAGUGCUACCCAACUGAUUUUUCCCAUCAUCUUUGCCACUAUUCAGAUCUUUUACCUCAAUCUGUACUCCUGGAAACUUUAUCAAAUUAAACAAUACCUAUUCAAGGUCACAAAUUAGCAAACACGAUGCUCACGUGGUCUGGUGUAUUACCAGGACAUGUUGAUACAACUCUAUACCAGGCAGUGAUUGCAUAAACUCUAAAUAUUCUUCAGAGUUAAAAGUACAGGGAGUCUGGAAAGGUUUCAUGACCUGUCCUUCUCAUGUUCUAUUUAUGUUUUUUCUUUAAGUUUACUUUUUAAAUUGACAAGUAAAAAUUACAGGCCGGGUGUGGUGGCUCAUGCCUGUAACCCCAGCACUUUGGGAGGCUGAGGCGGGUGGAUCAUGAGGUCAGGAGAUUGAGACCAUCCUGGCUAACAUGGUGAAACCCCAUCUCUACUAAAAAUACAAAAAAAUUAGCCAGGCAUGGUGGCGGGUGCCUCAGCUACUCGGGAGGCUGAGGCAGGAGAAUGGCGUGAACCCAGGAGGCAGAGCUUGCAGUGAGCCAAGAUCGUGCAAUCUCGGCUCACUACAACCUCCGCCUCCAGGAUUCAAGUGAUUCUCCUGCCUCAGCCUCCCAAGUAGCUAGGAUUACAGGCACAUGCCACCACGCCU